CUGCAGGGUCCGGAAAAGAAAGAGAAACGGCCCAGCGCGGUCGCUCACAAAAUUCAGGGCGGGGCUGCCCUCGGCGCCCGAAAGCUUUUUGUUUUUUGUUUUUUUUUGAAACGGAGUUUCGCUCUUGUUGCCCAGGCUGGAGUGCAGUGGCGCGAUCUCGGCUCACAGCAACCUCCGCCUCCCGGGUUCAAGUGAGUCUCCUGCCUCAGCCUCCCGACUAGCUGGGAUUACAGGCAUGCGCCACCCCCGGCUAAUUUUGUAUUUUUAGUAGAGGCGGGGUUUCUCUAUGUUGGUCAGGCUGGUCUGGAAAUCCCGACCUCAGGUGAUCCGCCCGCCUCGGCCUCCCAAAGUGCUGGAAUUACAGGCUUGAGCCACCGCGCACGGCUUUGCCCGCAAGCGUUUUGAAUUUUGUGGCCCGGAAUUCACUGCGAGGACUGGGAUCACCCAUCACCCUUCCCUGGUCUACGGAAAAUGAAACGUGUUUACUGAUACAGAAACGGAAUAACGGCACUUUGGGCUGGGGAGGGCCGAGCUGCCUCAGGCUUCUGGUCUCCAGCUGCGCGGCACUCACACCUGCCGCUGUGAAAAUGCAGACCCGCGGGGCAGGAAUUCCGAGUCCAGGCUGGAGCGCGAUCUGGAAUCUGACUCGCUGGAAACAGCACCGCGGUGGAUUCGGACCUGGGGUUGGGGCCUGGAGAGACAGAGGCUGCCACUGAUUCUCUGAAUUCCAGCUUCCCUUGUCAGUCACGCAGCUGAAAGCAGGAAGAAGCUUUCUCUUCUGCACUUGGAACAACAAGGUGAAGAUGACAGAGAGUCCCACAUCUACCAUGGAAAAGGCAAUGGUCCCUAAAUCAUGCCAAGUUUUCUAAUGACAUGUGUUUUCCCGCAACAUGUAACUAUAUGUCCUCCCUUCAAGCACCAGUUAUCACAGUACAAACACAGCAACAGCAUAAAGGAAUGACUACUGAGCCUGAAGCUCUGAUGGAUGCUCUGAGUUGAGACUUUGUUUUAUACUUAGGUACCUGUGAGUCAUUGCAGAGUUUUGCCUGACUCCACCAUGACCCAAUUUGAUCAAGGUCUAUAUGCUAUGAGACCUCUCUAGUUCCUCAUCAGAAAUUAUAAUGAAUACCAUGUCCAGCUCCUGAGGUGCCUGAUGGCAACGAGCGGCAGCUCCUCUUGGGGCAACACUUUGGGGGUGACCAAGGCCUCACAGACCUCACUACUGCUGGGCUACAUGGCCCAAGGCUCCUGGGCGCAAUGGAUCGGUGGUCUUGGAUUCGCCUCGGACAUUUAAUGACAUUUGUUCUUGGGCUUUCACAAGUGGUCUCUGGUUGAGAUGGAAGGAAAGGACGCAGGGACACAAAAUCUCUGACUGCCCAGGGACCCCCUCACCGUCCUCACUUCCACUCAAGACGACAUGGCCGUUCCACUAAAUUCCCGAGGACAUGGCCAACAUGAGUAACAACACAGGGAAGUGCCUUACACAGAGUUCCAUGGAAGCCUGGCUAGUACCCUCUAGACCAUUUACCUACACCUGUUGGGAUCUCUCUAGCAUGAAAUGCUCCAGAGGCAGUCAUGCCAUAAGCUUGGAUCCUCCAGCCAUUGAGUGUGAGGGUCUUAGCCCGGUCUAAAUGAGCACUGAAUUCUAGAGAGACCAAGGGACUGUCUAAGUUCUGAAUUCUGAGUCCUGAAUCCUGGAAGUUGGCUUCUGGCCAGGGAGCAGGUGUUACUGCCUCUGAUCCACAAAAGCAGCCCCACAGCUCAAGUUGCUCUUCUGGAUUUCUCCCCUCUCCUGGUUCCUGGCCAGGCAAAUCUUCACUGCUUUGUUAGCCCAUCCAUUUGCUCAACCAGAUUUUUCAAAUAUGUAUGUUUUCCUCCUUUUCCCAUUGUACUCAGUGGAAGGAAUGGUCUAAAUUACCUAAUCAGCAAUUCCUGGAAACCAAGCCACCAUGUACAUACAAUCUUAUACGUUAAUGUCACAUACAAGAAAGAAAAUGCAGAGGUACCAGUAGUGGCUACCUAAGCAGUGUAAUGUAGAGGUAAUAAAAACGAAUUGUUGGAUAGUAUC
ensembl:lncRNA MICB-DT MICB divergent transcript